rnacentral:rRNA from 1 species
CGAACGCACAGCGAAAGGUGCUUGCACCUUUCAAGUGAGUGGCGAACGGGUGAGUAACACGUGGACAACCUGCCUCAAGGCUGGGGAUAACAUUUGGAAACAGAUGCUAAUACCGAAUGAAACUUAGUGUCGCAUGAUACGAAGUUAAAAGGCGCUUUGGCGUCACCUAGAGAUGGAUCCGCGGUGCAUUAGUUAGUUGGUGGGGUAAAGGCCUACCAAGACAAUGAUGCAUAGCCGAGUUGAGAGACUGAUCGGCCACAUUGGGACUGAGACACGGCCCAAACUCCUACGGGAGGCUGCAGUAGGGAAUCUUCCACAAUGGGCGAAAGCCUGAUGGAGCAACGCCGCGUGUGUGAUGAAGGCUUUCGGGUCGUAAAGCACUGUUGUAUGGGAAGAACAGCUAGAAUAGGGAAUGAUUUUAGUUUGACGGUACCAUACCAGAAAGGGACGGCUAAAUACGUGCCAGCAGCCGCGGUAAUACGUAUGUCCCGAGCGUUAUCCGGAUUUAUUGGGCGUAAAGCGAGCGCAGACGGUUGAUUAAGUCUGAUGUGAAAGCCCGGAGCUCAACUCCGGAAUGGCAUUGGAAACUGGUUAACUUGAGUGCAGUAGAGGUAAGUGGAACUCCAUGUGUAGCGGUGGAAUGCGUAGAUAUAUGGAAGAACACCAGUGGCGAAGGCGGCUUACUGGACUGUAACUGACGUUGAGGCUCG